GUGGAUCCUCUAUCCUUCAGAGACUCUGGAACCCCUGUGCUCUUCUCCUCAUCUAGUGACCCUGAGGUGAUGGAGUUUUCAAGUCCUUCCAGAGAGGAAUGUCCCAAGCCUUCGGGUAGGGUAAGCAUCAUGGCUGGCAGCCUCACAGGAUUGCUUCUACUUCAGGCAGUGUCGUGGGCAUCAGAUGAGUGCCUUCAGCCGCUACAAGAGCAGAAGCAGUGGGCAUUGGAUGGAGCUGAGUACAGGACCAUACAGGCUAAUUGCACCGGCACAGUGAAAUAAGAUUUCGCCGCCUAUCAUCUGCUAACUGCUACGGACUCAGGCUCAGAAAGGCCUGCGCUUCACCCAGGAAUCGGAUAUAACAUCAUCUGGGUACCCAUGGCCAGCUGUGACUUCUCCAUCCGCACCUACACCUAUGCAGACACCCCUGAUGAUUUCCAGUUGCACAACUUCAGCCUCCCAGAGGAAGAUACCAAGCUCAAGAUACCCCUGAUUCACCGAGCCCUGCAGUUGGCCCAGCGUCCCGUUUCACUCCUUGCCAGCCCCUGGACAUCACCCACUCGGCUCAAGACCAGGGGAGCGGGGAAUGGGAAGGGGCCACUCAAGGGACAGCCCAGAGACAUCUACCACCAGACCUGGGCCAGAUACAUUGUGAAGUUCCUGGAUGCCUAUGCUGAGCACAAGUUACAGUUCUGGGCAGUGACAGCUGAAAAUGAGCCUUCUGCUGGGCUGUUGAGUGGAUACCCCUUCCAGUGCCUGGGCUUCACCCCUGAACAUCAGCGAGACUUCAUUGCCCGUGACCUAGGUCCUACCCUUGCCAACGGUACUCACCACAAUGUCCGCCUACUCAUGCUGGAUGACCAACGCUUGCUGCUGCCCCACUGGGCAAAGGUGGUACUGACAGACCCAGAAGCAGCUAAAGGCCUGUGUGGGUUCCAAGUUCUGGGAGCAGAGUGUGCGGCUAGGCUCCUGGGAUCGAGGGAUGCAGUACAGCCACAGCAUCAUCACAAACCUCCUGUACCAUGUGGUCGGCUGGACCGACUGGAACCCAUCAUUGUAGACAUCACCAAGCACACGUUUUACAAACAGCCCAUGUUCUACCACCUUGGCCACUUCAGCAAGUUCAUUCCUGAGGGCUCCCAGAGAGUGGGGCUGGUUGCCAGUCAGAAGAACGACCCGGACGCAGUGGCACUGAUGCAUCCCGAUGGCUCUGCUGUUGUGGUCGUGCUAAACCGCUCCUCUAAGGAUGUGCCUCUUACCAUCAAGGAUCCUGCUGUGGGCUUCCUGGAGACAAUCUCACCUGGCUACUCCAUUCACACCUACCUGUGGCGUCGCCAGUGAUGGAGCAGAUACUCAAGGAGGCACUGGGCUCAGCCUGGGCAUUAAAGGGACAGAGUCAGCUCACACGCUGUCUGUGACUAAAGAGGGCACAGCAGGGCCAGUGUGAGCUUACAGCGACGUAAGCCCAGGGGCAAUGGUUUGGGUGACUCACUUUCCCCUCUAGGUGGUGCCAGGGGCUGGAGGCCCCUAGAAAAAGAUCAGUAAGCCCCAGUGUCCCCCCAGCCCCCAUGCUUAUGUGAACAUGCGCUGUGUGCUGCUUGCUUUGGAAACUGGGCCUGGGUCCAGGCCUAGGGUGAGCUCACUGUCCGUACAAACACAAGAUCAGGGCUGAGGGUAAGGAAAAGAAGAGACUAGGAAAGCUGGGCCCAAAACUGGAGACUGUUUGUCUUUCCUGGAGAUGCAGAACUGGGCCCGUGGAGCAGCAGUGUCAGCAUCAGGGCGGAAGCCUUAAAGCAGCAGCGGGUGUGCCCAGGCACCCAGAUGAUUCCUAUGGCACCAGCCAGGAAAAAUGGCAGCUCUUAAAGGAGAAAAUGUUUGAGCCCA
ensembl:lncRNA GBA1LP glucosylceramidase beta 1 like, pseudogene